rnacentral:lncRNA from 1 species
UGUCAUUAAGUAAGUGAUAAAUAAUUUUUAAUAAAAUUUAAGUGAAUUAAUUAUAUUAUUUCACUAAUCUAUCAAUAAAUGUCACAUCAUUUACCAUAAUUAUUUUUUUAGGAUAAAUGCCACAUCACUACUUCUGAAAUAUCACCAUCGUCCCUUCCAUCAAUCUUCAUCGUCAAUUCACCAUCACCAAGAAAUAUAAUUACAACAAAAAUAAAAAUCAAAUAAUCAAAUAAAAAUUAUAAAAUAAUUAAAUCCAUGGAAAUCAGAUUUAAUAAUUAUAAUAAAACUAAAACCCAUAUAUUCCAAAACCAUACAUAAUUCACGACGCAAAGUCAACAAGCUAAUAUCCAAAAUGCAAAACCCUUUCGCCAACACCGUGCUAAGUUGAAGUUCAUUUUGACCUGCGUGUGGAUAAUAAAAUGAUUAUAAUCAUCUAAUUGAAUUUAAAUAGUCUCACUGCCAAGUAAAAUAUUCACGUGAACAAAUGAAUCUUUAGAAAACAAUGUAGGAGUGGCAGCUUUGUCAAAAAAUACGGCGUUUUGCAAUUCUAACUGACGGUGAUAGUGAAGUGAUGAUGAACUUGGUGCCUGCUGGUGAGGAAAAUCGUCGGUGAGAGAAAGAGAGAGAUAGAGAGAGACAGAGCAGAUGAGAGAGAAAAAAUAAAAUAAAAAAUAUUUUUUGAUUUUUCAUAAUAACAAAUAAAAAAAUAAAUGAGGUUAAUUGAAAAGUAAGAAUUAGUGAGAUAACUUAAUAGAAUCAAAUAUCAGUAAAGUGAUGUGUUAGCAAGUGUAUACAAAAGCCCAUGCCAGGUGCGGAGUUGGGUUCCAACUAGGGGUGUUCGUGGAUAAGAUUUUACUGAUUAAACAUCAAUUCAUAUCCGAUUCAUGAUUUUAUAGAUUGAAAAUUUUCAAUCCAAUCCAAUUCAUGGAUUGACAAAUUCAAUCCAAAUUUAAUUCAUAUGUCUGCGGAUUAGAUGCGGAUUUGACCUAAUCCAUAUCCAAUUCAUUAUUUUGCGGAUCUAUUUGUGGAUUAAAACUUUUUAAUUAUGUUCAUUGUACGAACUUAUUAAAUAGAAAAAAAUCUUAUAUAAAAG